GCAGCCACAUUUCAACAUUUCCCAGAUUUUGCAAUAUUAAACUUUACACCUUAUUAUCUCCCUCGCAGCCUUAUUUGAUUCACUGCCGGAUAAAAUUUUCAUCCCGGGUGUCACUAGCUGGCCUUUUUCUGGGGCUGAACAAUCGCACACCUCCCAUGCCUCAGGAAAAAGAUUUAGGCCAAGAAACCAAAUUUGUUGUUUAACUUGAGCCCCCUAAGGGGAUUUAGCAUAGUGGGCUGAAUGCGGUUAAACCAGCUUAAUCACUUUCUUUGUUCUGGGCUCUUUGCAUUUAUUUAAUGUGUUUUAACACGAUUUAACACAAUCUAAGCUAAUUUCUUCAGUGUUAGUGUA
rnacentral:lncRNA from 10 species